UGCGGCCACUGCCGCACUCCGCCUGAUGUUCGGCGGUCCCCGACGGAUCGAUCGGGGGAGAUCCGGAGGAGGACUGGAGCGGAAGGAUGCGCUCCGUUACACAACUAAUACCUAACCAAACAUCCAUGAAAAGUACCAUGAUUUGCAUGGCAGAUAGCGCGCUAGUCUUAGACACCUGAGGACCUAGGUUCGAAUCUCACCGCGGCCAACAUCUUUUUCCGUCAUCAAAUUCAACACAUCGUAGACAACGCUCUUCACCAGCGCCACAAAUCAUUCGCAUCUAUGUCAUUUGACAGCUGACAGUUCUAGCUUCAUUCUAAAAAAAAAAAUUGAGCGAUUUAGUCGAGUUUUGGAGAUUUUAUAACAUGUUGAAGAUGGAAGACCAAACUGUGCAUUUUCGCCAUAUAUUACUGUUUUACUUCCGUAAAGGGAAGAACGCGCAUCAAGCUUGUGAAAAAUUGUGUAAAGUUUAUAGUGACAAUGCUCUACAAGAACGUCAGUGCCAACGAUAGUUCACGAAAUUCCAUGCUGUGAUUUUGAUCUUAAUGACGCUCCUCGGUCAGGGAGGCCUACCGAGGUUGAUGACGACAAAAUAAAAGCAUUGAUCAAGUCAAACUCACGUUACACGACACGAGAGAUUGCACAAACAUUGAACAUCCAUUAUUCAAGCAUUCACGACCACCUGAAGAAACUGGGAUACCGACUGGUGAUGAGAAGUGGAUUGUUUACAACAAUGUGGUGCGCAAACGGUCUUGAUCCUGACGUGAUGAUUCGCUUCAAACGAUAAAAGCAAAUUCAUCAGAAGGUUAUGCUCUCAGUGUGAUGAUAUUUUAAAGGUGUUGUAUUUUUCAAGCUCCUACCAAGGAAUUAAACAAUCAAUUCGAAUGU